AGAGUUUGAUCAUGGCUCAGAACGAACGCUGGCGGCGUGCUUAACACAUGCAAGUCGAGUGCGCGGUUGUAGCAAUACAACUGGCGCACGGCGCACGGGUGCGUAACACGUGGGUAACCUGCCCUUUGGUGGGGAAUAACUCCGCGAAAGCGGAGCUAAUUCCGCAUAAGAUCCGCAAGGAUGAAAGCCGAAAGGUGCCGAUGGAGGGGCCCGCGCCCGAUUAGCUAGUUGGUAGGGUAAUGGCCUACCAAGGCUUUGAUCGGUAGCUGGUCUGAGAGGAUGAUCAGCCACACUGGAACUGAGACACGGUCCAGACUCCUACGGGAGGCAGCAGUGGGGAAUCUUGCACAAUGGGCGAAAGCCUGAUGCAGCGACGCCGCGUGGGGGAUGAAGCAUUUCGGUGUGUAAACCCCUUUCGAUCCGGACGAAUGCCCGCAAGGGAGUGACGGUACGGAUAUAAGAAGCCCCGGCUAACUACGUGCCAGCAGCCGCGGUAAGACGUAGGGGGCCAGCGUUGUUCGGAAUUACUGGGUGUAAAGGGUUCGUAGGCGGUGUGGCAAGUUGGGAGUGAAAUCUCUGGGCUCAACCCAGAGGCUGCUUCCAAAACUGCUGUGCUUGAGUGUGGGAGAGGCGCGUGGAAUUGCAGGUGUAGCGGUGAAAUGCGUAGAUAUCUGCAGGAACACCCGUGGCGAAAGCGGCGCGCUGGACCACAACUGACGCUGAGGAACGAAAGCUAGGGGAGCAAACAGGAUUAGAUACCCUAGUAGUCC
rnacentral:rRNA from 1 species